rnacentral:rRNA from 1 species
GACGAACGCUGGCGGCGUGCUUAACACAUGCAAGUCGAACGGAAAGGCCCUGCUUUUGUGUGGUGCUCGCGUGGCGAACGGGUGAGUAACCCGUGAGUCACCUUCCCUUGACUUUGUGAUAACUUCAGAAAACUGGUGCUAAUACCGGCUAGGAGCUCCUGCUGCAUGGUGGGCGUUGGACAGUUUCGGCGGUUGGGGGUGGACUCGCGGCUUAUCAGCUGGUUGGUGGGGUAGUGGCUUACGAAGGCUUAGACGGGUAGCCGGCCUGGGAGGGUGACCGGCCACAUGAGGACUGAGGUACGGCGCAGACUCGAACGGGAGGCAGCAGGGGGGAAUAUUGCACAAGGAGCGGAAGCCUGAGGCGACGACGCCGCGUGCGGGAUGAAGGCCUUCGUGUUGGAAACCGCAUUCGCCUGUGACGAAGCGUGAGUGACGGUACCGGGAGAAGAAGCACCGGCUAACUACGUG